rnacentral:rRNA from 1 species
UACAGAGGGGGCAAGCGUUGUUCGGAAUUACUGGGCGUAAAGGGCGCGUAGGCGGCCCGCUAAGUCGAACGUGAAAUCCCCGGGCUCAACCCGGGAACUGCGUCCGAUACUGGCAGGCUUGAAUCCGGGAGAGGGAUGCGGAAUUCCAGGUGUAGCGGUGAAAUGCGUAGAUAUCCGGAGGAACACCGGUGGCGAAGGCGGCUUCCUGGACCGACACUGACGCUGAGGCGCGAAAGCUAGGGGAGCAAACGGG